GUACCCGCGGGGCGGCAUCGACACCUGCCAGGGGGACAUCGGGGGCCCCCUGGUCUGCAAGGACAACGUUGGUGACUACUUCUGGCUGGUGGGACUGGCCAGCUGGGGCCGAGGCUGCUCCGGUGACAAACGGCCCGGCGUGUUCACGUCCACCCAGCACUUCCGUGGAUGGAUCCAAGUCCAGAUGGGAUUGGUCCCAGCAGAGAUAUCCCCGACAGCGACGGAGCCAGCCCCAACCCCAACCCUGAACCUGUUUGUGACCCCGACCCCGGUCCUGACCCUGAGCGUUACUGAGGAGCCACCAAAAGCAGAAUCGGACAAGUUCAUCACCAUUUCAUUCCCAAAAGAAAUCCUGCUGAGGUUCUUCAGGAAUCUGCAGAAGUUCUUGCUGUUCCUAAGGGAAAAAAUGGGUUGAGCAGGAGGGAGAGCAGAUCCCGUUCUGGCUGCAGAGGAUCUCCAGCGUUCCCAGCCGGGGCCGUGGCCGUGGGGCCAAGGUCAGCCCCGGUGCCCAGGGCUGCUGGGCCCUGCCCACGCUGACCCCUGCGCCCUCCCCGACCCUGAAUCCACUUUGGAUUGAAAUAGAGUUGUUCCUAUUCCCACUUCUCCACCUUGUCCAGUUCCUUGUCCUGGGGAAAACAGGGAUGGGAUGAUUUGGG